GUCGAGCGGACAGAUGGGAGCUUGCUCCCUGAUGUUAGCGGCGGACGGGUGAGUAACACGUGGGUAACCUGCCUGUAAGACUGGGAUAACUCCGGGAAACCGGGGCUAAUACCGGAUGGUUGUUUGAACCGCAUGGUUCAAACAUAAAAGGUGGCUUCGGCUACCACUUACAGAUGGACCCGCGGCGCAUUAGCUAGUUGGUGAGGUAANGGCUCACCAAGGCAACGAUGCGUAGCCGACCUGAGAGGGUGAUCGGCCACACUGGGACUGAGACACGGCCCAGACUCCUACGGGAGGCAGCAGUAGGGAAUCUUCCGCAAUGGACGAAAGUCUGACGGAGCAACGCCGCGUGAGUGAUGAAGGUUUUCGGAUCGUAAAGCUCUGUUGUUAGGGAAGAACAAGUACCGUUCGAAUAGGGCGGUACCUUGACGGUACCUAACCAGAAAGCCACGGCUAACUACGUGCCAGCAGCCGCGGUAAUACGUAGGUGGCAAGCGUUGUCCGGAAUUAUUGGGCGUAAAGGGCUCGCAGGCGGUUUCUUAAGUCUGAUGUGAAAGCCCCCGGCUCAACCGGGGAGGGUCAUUGGAAACUGGGGAACUUGAGUGCAGAAGAGGAGAGUGGAAUUCCACGUGUAGCGGUGAAAUGCGUAGAGAUGUGGAGGAACACCAGUGGCGAAGGCGACUCUCUGGUCUGUAACUGACGCUGAGGAGCGAAAGCGUGGGGAGCGA
rnacentral:rRNA from 1 species